UACGUAGGGUGCGAGCGUUAAUCGGAAUUACUGGGCGUAAAGCGUGCGCAGGCGGUUUUGUAAGACAGAUGUGAAAUCCCCGGGCUUAACUUGGGAAUUGCGCUUGUGACUGGCGUGCUGGAGUGUGGCAGAGGGAGGUGGAAUUCCACGUGUAGCAGUGAAAUGCGUAGAGAUGUGGAGGAGCACCGAUGGCGAAGGCAGCCUCCUGGGCCAGCACUGACGCUCAUGCACGAAAGCGUGGGGAGCAAACAGG
rnacentral:rRNA from 1 species